GCAGGAUCCAGGUGGGAUCUGGGCAGGAUCGAGGUGGGAUCUGGAGAGGUUCCAGGUGGGAUCUGAGGUGGGAUCUCAGCAGGAUCCAGGUGGGAUCUUAGGAGGUUUCAGGUGGGAUCUGAUCAGGGUCCAGGUGAGAUCUGAGGAAGAUCCAGGUGGGACCUGGGUGGGUUUCAGGUGGGAUCUGGAGAGGUUUCAGGUGGGUUUUGGGCACAAUCCAGGUGGGAUCUCAGCAGGAUCUGGGUUAGACCUUGGUGGGAUCCAGGUGGGAUUCAGGUGGGACCUGAGGAAGAUCCAGGUGGGAUCUGGAGAGGUUCCAGGUGGGAUUUGAGGUGGGAUCUCAGCAGGAUCCAGGUGGGACCUGAGGAAGAUCAGGUGGGAUUUGGAUGGGAUCGAGGUGGGAUCUGGAGAGGUUCCAGGUGGGAUCUGAGGAACAUCCAGGUGGGACCUGAGAAAGAUCCAGGUGGGAUCUGGGUGGGUUUCAGGUGGGAUCUCAGCAGGAUCCAGGUGGGAUCUCAGCAGGAUCCAGGUGGGACCUGGAGAGG